GAUGAACGCUAGCGGCAGGCCUAAUACAUGCAAGUCGAACGGUAGAUCGGGUAGCAAUACUUGAUUGAGAGUGACGUAAGGGUGCGUAACACGUAUGCAAUCUACCCUCAACAGGAGUAUAGCUCGGGGAAACUCGGAUUAACACUCCAUAACAUUACGAUGUGGCAUCACAUUGUGAUUAAAACUCCGGUGGUUGAGGAUGAGCAUGCGUCUGAUUAGUUAGUUGGAGGUGUAACGGACCCCCAAGACGAUGAUCAGUGGGGGAACUGAGAGGUUGAUCCCCCACACUGGCACUGAGAUACGGGCCAGACUCCUACGGGAGGCAGCAGUAGGGAAUAUUGGUCAAUGGGUGAGAGCCUGAACCAGCCAUGCCGCGUGCAGGAAGACGGCCUUCUGGGUUGUAAACUGCUUUUAUCUGGGAUAAAAAGCCCAUGCGUGGGACAUUGAAGGUACCAGAUGAAUAAGCACCGGCUAACUACG
rnacentral:rRNA from 1 species